GCGGGGGUCGCCCAGCUUGGUCAAAGGCGUGAGACCGGAUCAGAAAAUUAUCUGGCGCGAUGCUCAGAUGUUAGACCAACUGGGAUACCUCAUUCCUUAGGGAUUCGUGGGUUCAAAUCCCACCCCCCGCA
rnacentral:tRNA from 1 species